UACGUAGGCAGCGAGCGUUGUUCGGAGUUACUGGGCGUAAAGAGUGCGUAGGCGGUUUUCUAAGUUUGGUGUGAAAUCUCCCGGCUUAACUGGGAGGGUGCGCCGUAGACUGUGGGGCUAGAGUGUGGGAGAGGAAAGUGGAAUUCCUGGUGUAGCGGUGAAAUGCGUAGAUAUCAGGAGGAACACCGGUGGUGUAAACGGCUUUCUGGACCAUAACUGACACUGAGGCACGAAAGCGUGGGUAGCAAACAGG
rnacentral:rRNA from 1 species